rnacentral:rRNA from 1 species
UGAUCCUGGCUCAGAACGAACGCUGGCGGCAGGCCUAAUACAUGCAAGUCUAACGGGCGUAGCAAUACGUCAGUGGCGGACGGGUGAGUAACACGUGGGAACAUGCCCCGAGGUACGGAACAACUCAGGGAAACUUGAGCUAAUACCGUAUAUACCGGCAACGGGAAAGAUUUAUCGCCUUGGGAUUGGCCCGCGUCCGAUUAGCUAGUUGGUGAGGUAAUGGCCCACCAAGGCACCGAUCGGUAGCUGGUUUGAGAGAACGACCAGCCACACUGGGACUGAGACACGGCCCAGACUCCUACGGGAGGCAGCAGUAGGGAAUCUUGGACAAUGGGGGAAACCCUGAUCCAGCCAUGCCGCGUGAGUGAUGAAGGCCUUCGGGUUGUAAAACUCUUUCGGCGGGGACGAUAAUGACGGUACCCGCAGAAGAAGCUCCGGCUAACUUCGUGCCAGCAGCCGCGGUAAUACGAAGGGGGCUAGCGUUGUUCGGAAUUACUGGGCGUAAAGCGCGCGCAGGCGGCCUUUCAAGUCAGGGGUGAAAGCCCGGAGCUCAACUUCGGAAUUGCCUUUGAAACUGUCAGGCUCGAGUACGGGAGAGGUGAGUGGAAUUCCCAGUGUAGAGGUGAAAUUCGUAGAUAUUGGGAAGAACACCGGUGGCGAAGGCGGCUCACUGGCCCGUUUCUGACGCUCAGGCGCGACAGCGUGGGGAUCAAACAGGAUUAGAUACCCUGGUAGUCCACGCCGUAAACUAUGAACGCUAGCCGUUGGCAGGCUUGCCUGUCAGUGGCGCAGCUAACGCAUUAAGCGUUCCGCCUGGGGGAGUACGGCCGCAAGGUUGAAACUCAAAUGAAUUGACGG